UGGAGGUAGAGGUAGAGGUAGAGGAAGAGGAAGACAAGAAGGUGCUCAAAGAGGACCGAAUCUGACAAAUGAGAUCCGCGCAACACUGGCUGACCACGUUUUCAACCACGGCCUGACGCUGAGGGAGGCUGGACUGAUUGAGGGUCAGGAACGACAAGGGGGAAGGCCUCCUAUGUUCACAAAACAGCAAGAGAGGGAGAUAGUAAACAUGGUUUUGGCCAACAAUGCCAUAACACUCAAUCAGCUCCAAGCUAACAUUGUCAAUAACCACGCCAGUUUCAACGAUAUCCAUCAGGUCUCAACAUCAACACUGGCACGCAUCCUAAAAAAAAACAUAUUCAAAUGAAGCAAAUUUAUCGAGUGCCUUUCAAGCGCAAUUCCGAAAGGGUGAAACGACUGCGGCAUGAUUAUGCAGAGAGAGUUUUACGAAUGGAUGGAGAGGAGAUCCAGCAUGAGUUCAUUUACGUAGAUGAGGCUGGGUUCAACCUGAUGAGAACACGAAGGAGGGGAAGAAACAUCAUUGGCCACAGGGCUAUAGUCAAUGUCCCAGGGGAACGUGGGGGUAAUAUAACACUCUGUGCAGCCAUUACACAGAAUGGGGUCCUCCACCGCCAUGCCCAUAUGGGCCCUUACAACACAGCACUCACACUUACAUUCUUGGACCAAUUGCACAACAUAACAGCAGCAAAUCAAAUUGAUCAUAUGCAAUACAUUGUUGUCUGGGACAAUGUGUCUUUCCACCGCUCUGCUCUGGUUCAGAACUGGUUUCAGCAACAUCCACAUUUCACCGUCCUAUAUCUUCCACCAUACUCUCCAUUCCUCAACCCUAUAGAAGAGUUUUUCUCGGCAUGGCGGUGGAAGGUAUAUGAUCUCCGUCUCCAGGCUGAGGUACCCCUCAUCCAAGCCGUGGAGGAGGCCUGUGACCAGAUGGAGGUAGCAGCAAUGCAAGGAUGGAUUCAUCAUUCAAGACGUUUCUUUCCAAGGUGUCUUGCUAAUGACAACAUUGCCUGCGAUGUUGAUGAAAUUUUCUGGCCAGAUCCAGCUAGGAGAAGAGACAAUGUCUUGUUUUUUUGUUGUUGUUUUUUUACAGUAAACUUACAGUACAAUACUUAAAGUGACAUUUUGUUACAGUAUUAUCAAUCUCCAUGUCAACAUUUUGGGCGUGUUG